AAAUUGAAGAGUUUGAUCAUGGCUCAGAUUGAACGCUGGCGGCAGGCCUAACACAUGCAAGUCGAACGGUAACAGGAARCAGCUUGCUGYUUYGCUGACGAGUGGCGGACGGGUGAGUAAUGUCUGGGAAACUGCCYGAUGGAGGGGGAUAACUACUGGAAACGGUAGCUAAUACCGCAUAACGUCGCAAGACCAAAGAGGGGGACCUUAGGGCCUCUUGCCAUCGGAUGUGCCCAGAUGGGAUUAGCUAGUAGGUGGGGUAAAGGCUCACCUAGGCGACGAUCCCUAGCUGGUCUGAGAGGAUGACCAGCCACACUGGAACUGAGACACGGU
rnacentral:rRNA from 1 species